rnacentral:ncRNA from 1 species
AUACGGGGAGCUUUUGUUUUCAAGGCUGAGAGGAAACGGCAAACGUUUCGACCCAUUGACCUGAUUCGGAUAAUGCCGACGUAGGGAUUUUCAUUAUA